rnacentral:rRNA from 1 species
CAGCAGCCACGGUAAUACGAAGGGUGCAAGCGUUAAUCGGAAUUACUGGGCGUAAAGCGUGCGUAGGCGGUGAGUUAAGUCUGCUGUGAAAUCCCCGGGCUCAACCUGGGUAUGGCAGUGGAUACUGGCUCGCUAGAGUGUGUCAGAGGAUGGUGGAAUUCCCGGCGUAGCGGUGAAAUGCGUAGAGAUCGGGAGGAACAUCAGUGGCGAAGGCGGCCAUCUGGGACAACACUGACGCUGAGGCACGAAAGCGUGGGGAGCAAACAGGAUUAGAUACCCCUGUAGUCCCUGUCUCUUAUAC